CAGGGAUCCCAAAACACACAACCCCAAAAUCAUCGGAACUGGGGGAUCUGGGUGAACCACAUAUCCAAAAUUCACCCAGAUCCGUUCAGUACUUUGGAAGAUACAGUUUAAUGCAGAUUCCGCAGAACAUAUGCAGGCUAUAUGAAAAACAAUUACUGUAUAAUGUGUCCCCUGUUGUAUAGUCCAAAACCACUGCACGAUGUCUCUGUGCACCAAAUACUGGCGAGAUUACACCGUGUUGAAAAGUCCAAACAGUGUAUAUGAGUUAAAAUGGCCACCAUCCAUUGUUCUCACCAUGUGCUUCAUCCAUUGUUCUCACCAUGUGCCUCUGAUACAUGAAAUGGUG